AAACUUAAAGGAAUUGACGGGGGCCCGCACAAGCAGCGGAGCAUGUGGUUUAAUUCGAAGCAACGCGAAGAACCUUACCCAGACUUGACAUCUCCUGAAUUAAUCGUAAUGGAUGAAAUCCCUUCGGGGACAGGAAGACAGGUGGUGCAUGGUUGUCGUCAGCUCGUGUCGUGAGAUGUUGGGUUAAGUCCCGCAACGAGCGCAACCCUUAUCAUUAGUUGCUAACAUUCAGUUGAGCACUCUAGUGAGACUGCCCGGGUUAACCGGGAGGAAGGUGGGGAUGACGUCAAAUCAUCAUGCCCCUUAUGUCUGGGGCUACACACGUGCUACAAUGGUGGGAACAAAAAGAUGCAAGACCGCAAGGUGGAGCUAAACUCAAAAACCCAUCCCAGUUCGGAUUGUAGGCUGAAACUCGCCUACAUGAAGCUGGAGUUGCUAGUAAUCGCAAAUCAGAAUGUUGCGGUGAAUACGUUCCCGGGCCUUGUACACACCGCCCGUCACACCAUGAGAGUCGGCAACACCCGAAGCCCGUGAGGUAACCUUUUGGAACCAGCGGUCGAAGGUGGGGUUGAUAAUUGGGGUGAAGUCGUAACAAGGUAGCCGUAGGAG
rnacentral:rRNA from 1 species